GGGAAAGUAAAAUGCAUAGAAGAUAAUUGGUAUUUCCAGGCCUUGUGCUGACAAAUCCUAUUUGUUUUUUUGAAAGAAACAAUACAGAAUGUUUUAUAUCAAGCUGACUGCUGACAUCAUCAUGGACAUUAGUUAUCAGAGUUUCCUGUGAUCAGGGAUAAUAAGUGCUUGUCUAAUGAAACAAAGGGAAGUGAACAGAGAAGUGUAAAUGAGUAGCAAUGAGGAAAGGAAGAAAGAAGACAUUUCACCCUGAAUCCAUCUCUUCUAAGGAAUGGCCUUUGCUUACCUUGACCUUAUUGAUGAGCUACAGCUCUCAGUGCCUACUGAAGGUCCAUUCCUCAUGGUGAUUGUUUAGUGAUGGCUGCUUUAGGUUGAGCUUGUUCAGCACUAGUUACUUUCUAUAUUUAGUGUUAAUCAAUUGAUUUAUGGCAAUUAAGAAGCAGUUUUUUAUGUAUAUUUUGUAUAUUUUUAACAAGUAACUAUCGAGUAAAUAGUUGUUUUUAAA